CCGUCAAUUCCUUUGAGUUUCACCCUUGCGAGCAUACUCCCCAGGCGGUGCACUUAUCGCGUUGACUUCGGCACAGAGCACCGACGUGCCCCACGCCUAGUGCACAUCGUUUACAGCGUGGACUACCAGGGUAUCUAAUCCUGUUUGCUCCCCACGCUUUCGCGCCUCAGCGUCAGUCCUCGAAUAGAAGCUCGCCUUCGCCACCGGUGUUCUUCCUGAUCUCUACAGAUUUCACUCCUACACCAGGAAUUCCAGCUUCCCCCCCGGAACUCUAGCCCGUCAGUUUCCAGCGCACCCGCAGGGUUAAGCCCUGCGAUUUCACACCAGACUUCUCGGGCCGCCUACACGCCCUUUACGCCCAAUAACUCCGAACAACGCUCGCCCCAUACGUAUUACCGCGGCUGCUGGCACGUAGUUGGCCGGGGCUUAUUCGCAGGCUAACGUCAUCAGCGGGGCUUUCCACUCCCCACCUUAUUCUUCACCUGCAAAAGGACUUUACAACCUUACGGCCUUCAUCGUCCACGCGGCGUCGCUCCGUCAGGGUUGCCCCCAUUGCGGAAGAUUCUUAGCUGCUGCCUCCCGUAGGAGU
rnacentral:rRNA from 1 species